GUAGUUAGCCGGGGCUUCCUCCUUGGCUACCGUCACUUUCUUCGUCACCAAGGACAGAGGUUUACAACCCGAAAGCCUUCUUCCCUCACGCGGCGUUGCUGGGUCAGGCUUGCGCCCAUUGCCCAAUAUUCCCCACUGCUGCCUCCCGUAGGAGUCUGGACCGUGUCUCAGUUCCAGUGUGGCCGUUCAGCCUCUCAGCUCGGCUACCAAUCGUCGCCAUGGUGGGCCGUUACCUCACCAUCUAGCUAAUUGGACGCGAGUCCAUCUCAAAGCGAAUAAAUCCUUUUACCGCAACUCGAUGCCGAGUCGUGGUCUUAUGCGGUAUUAGCAGUCGUUUCCAACUGUUGUCCCCCACUCUGAGGCAGGUUACUCACGCGUUACUCACCCGUUCGCCACUAGACAUCAGAAAAGCAAGCUUCCUCUUCAGUCCCGUUCGACUUGCAUGUGUUAGGCGCGCCGCCAGCGUUCGUCCUGAGCCAGAAUCGAACCCUGA
rnacentral:rRNA from 1 species